CUCUCCAGUGUCGUGGGGUUUAGACUGCAGAUAGACGAAGCUUCAGUCCUGUGGAAGGCUAGUUGCAGUAACAUCUCUAAAGAUGGAGGGGCUUAGAUAAGCCCAUGCAACAGAGAGAGCAGAUACCACAAGUCCUGGAGAGCAAGAUGGUCUUCAAUGACACUCUCCUUGUCUGACAGCUCUCAGACAAGGGGACAGACCUGCUUGAAAUCAUGCCCAUUCACUGACAAAGCUUUAACUACCUUUCUCAGCAUGUACUGAGAUUGAAGACUCCUGACCAGAAUUUAGCCAAAGAUGACCAGAGGGCAGAUGGGUAUCACCCUGAAUACAGGACCUGGCCUGGAUUUUAUACUCAGGAAGAUGAAUUCAAAUGUGGCCUCAAACACUUAUUGUGUGACACGAAGGAAGUUAUUUAAGCUGAUUUGCCUCAAUUUCCUCAUCUAUAAAAUGAGCUGGAGAAGGAAAUGGCGAACCACAUCUGUAUUUUAAAUGAAGGGUUGGGGACAACUGAAAUGAUUAAACCACAUCAGCAAGGCUGUUAUAACCUGCAGAAAAGCUCAUGGGGAAUAGUGGGGAAAUGGAGUGUGGUCACAAGAACCUGUUAUGGUCCAGUGAAUUCUGGGAAAUAUAUAGAUCAUCUCUCAGAAGUAUUUUUGAGGAUUUUUUCUUUUUUGGAGGGGAUAGAGUUAGGGGGAGAAGAAAAACCAGUGGAGGAAGCUGAAGCAAAUAAAGGCAAAGUGACUUACCCAAGACCUCACAACUAGUAAUUGAGCCAAAA